UUGAAUUUAAAAAUGAAAAUAACGUGCAAGGCAAAAAUAAGUUGAGUUCAUGACUCAGGUGAAAGCCAUUGUGGGCCACCGUGCCGGAAAUCGCUUCUGGCGGCGGUGGCCAUCAAAAACCUAAAUUGAAGUCAUCAAUUGAUUCAUCUUAUCAAGCUCUCUAUGAAUCUCCUAUCAAUUUCAUGAAAUUCUAAACCUAAGUCCCUAACCGCAUCCUAUUGCUCAAGAACCCUCAGUGUAAGAACCUUAAAUUACAUGCUCAUCUUAAGGAAUCAGAGCCCAGGGGAUUGGGGACUUGAUUCCUCCCUCAACACACUACAUCAUGGCAACAAGAAAAUGGUGAAAAGUGAAUUUUCAGAAGGUCACUUUGCCGGAGAUGACGAAGACGACAAAGAAAUUUCGUUUGCAUGCUUGGAAUUUAUUGCAGGCGGGUUCAUGAUCUUGGAAAGGCUUUGCUUGGUUAUGUAAGGUUCAUGUGACUUGCUGGAAAGUUUGCUUAGUAAGGUCUGCACUUGAUCAUUGCUAGCAGGACUUUGGCUUGGCAUGCUCUUGGUUGAUAUGUGGGUUGUUUAGAUGAGUGCAAGGCCUAAUGCUUUGGAUCAUGAUGUGACAUGGAUGAACAAUGAAGGAAGCAUGUAACAAGGCCUAAAAUAUGAUAUUACUUGCUUGCACUUGAAGUAACAUUGGCAAAUGGAAAAAAUCAAGUGGAAACUUUGAAUAUUCAAGUGGAAAUGGGAAUUAGGGUUUGGGGAUGUAAAAAAGGGUGAGUUGACUUUAGUCAACUGGUUGAGCAAAAAGUCAACAGUUGACCAAAAGUCAACCUUUGUAGAAAAUUGUCAAUUCUUUGUAAUUUCGUAUGUAUGGAAAUUUGAUGAUUUGUAUGAAUGGAAUUUGGUAUUUGUUUAUGAAUGAAAUUGAUAUUUGAAUUGA